AGGAAUAUAGAAAAGCGGAGAAACACGGGGCAACUACACGUGACGAAGAAUGAUAGAUAUAGUUAGGUUAUCACUCGCUAACUGUAACCGAAUUUCACGUAUUCCCGACGCGCUCCCAAGAAACAGACGAAGAAGAAAGAUUUAAUCGAGAGAAGAAAUAUUUAAUUGCAAAGAAAUAUGAAAACUCGUAGGAACUACGUACAACGAAGAAACGUGAAUUUUACAGAUAAAUCGAGAUCCAGAGGAAUAACACGCCGUACGAGAAAAAGAUACAGAGAUAUAGAGAAUGAAAACACCACACGAUGAAGAAACGUGGAUUUUAAGGAGGAUAUGGUAUAUGGUUAGAACUAUGACUAAGAGAAACGCGGUUGCAAGCGAGAGUGCAGGUGCGUACACCGGCGACACUGAAUGCCGGAAUAUCAACGGGAACAUGCUGUUUCAUGCACGAACCGGCACGAUGGUGCUCGUCACACGUAGCGACGUGGAUUUUUGUGAGUGCUACACAUGCACGAAGAGACAAGAGCGAACGGAUCGAGGGAAAAUGGAACGAGGGAAUGCAAUUUGAGACUGUUAAAAUGUCAGCGAUUUUUGCGACUGGACAGGAAAUGUUUAUUAACGGCCGUUGCCGGCACCACGUUUUACGCAGUCGGAUUUCGUUUCGCUGAAAUACGGCUGUUUGGAAAACCGAUAAUGCGUGUAAAAAUGUUCGUGUCACCGAGAGGUGGUGCGAAAGAAGCUGCCGGCAUUCGAUACGGGCGUAGUGUGUGACACGCCAGCUCUGGCUUACGAAUGGCAAGUCACCGUUGAGUCUCACUAACGAACAGUUAAUUUCGCCUAGUAUCACGCUCUUUCCUUUGUUCAACGUGACAGAGUCAGUUCGUAGUAGCGCGAGCAAUUUUAUAAUACGUUUUUGUGCUACUUGAUCGAAACGAUGUCCAAUCAAUACUCCAGUCAAAGGGCAGAGUAGCUCCUGACCAUUUCCGCAAGUGGUGAUACUAUAAGAAAGCAAACUUGACGAUAAGAAGAAACGUAAUAUUAGAUCGUCUAUGCAACGUAUUCGAUAGAUGAAACUAAGUGAAAAUUGUUUAAAAGCAAUAGGAUACUACAGAAAACCAGCAUGAUCGCAUGAAAUGGUUAAAUCUAUUCUGAUACUUUUAUUAGUGUGAAACGUAAUUUUGCAGAACACAUCAAAACAUUUUCACGAAAAAGCAGAAUAUUGUAAAAGUCGUACACGAUCAUAAAAAACGCCUGUCGUGAUAAAUGCGUAAAUAUUGAAUAAUACAGCAGACAUACGUACUACAUGAAAACGAAACCAAAUCACAGGGACACUAUACUACCACAUAGUCAGUCCGGCUCUGUUACCAUCGAUAUACCAUAGCUCUUUCCGUAUCAUCGGACAGUAAAAACGUAUCAGCACGCUCUAUUUGUUUGUUCGUUUCAGUCAAGUAUUUGUAUCCAUAUCUCGCCUUGAGACGAGAGUAGACGUUCUUAAAUCAUUCGAGGGCGAGACACGAUCGCGAUGCAUUAAUCUAAAAAACUGAUGAACCACGAUACAACAGUAUCUGGCUUUCUCCUCCCAUUUCUCCUCCUGUGAACUUUGCGAUAGAAACAAAAGGAUUAACCUCGACCGAUAGAAUCGUCCGGGGUAAUUGCUCGUUGGAGCGACAAAAUGUUAGCUAGAAACACGAAUACUUCUAUCGAUGGAGAAGAGAACGCUGGAACAGUUGACCUGUUUCGAGUAGUUGCUCUGUAUACGAUACACGACACACACGCGUCGCCCAUUGUACGGUUAGCGAGCGCGAAUACAUUAUUACUUGCUAUUAUCGCCGUUACCGAAUGUUUCACAUUGUUUUCCAUUCUUCAACGAUUUCUCAACAUCGUUCGAAUGCAGUCGAGGUGGAAAAAUAUUCAGUCGAGAACGUUUUACGGUUUCUACAAAUUUAUUAGCGAGGCUUUAUUAUCUUUCGUUUGACAAAUUGCGUUGAUAAGUGCACUUCGCAGCGUGGCUCGAACAAUUCUCUUGAUUCUUUGAAAGGUUUACGAUACCUCCAUCGCGCCUUGAUUUUCUCGAACGUGUAUACAUUUUUAUAUUUUACGUCCAAUAGUUUACGAUCUGCGUUCUGCUGUUCUUAUCAUCUGGGUUAUUCAGCGACCAAUAUUUCUGGUAACAAUGAAAUGCUUCUUACGAGAUUUUGUAUAUUAUUGUUAUUUGAUAAUUGUAUUAUUUCUUUUUUUUUUUGGUCAUCCUUAUGAUAUAUAAACUUUGUGAAAAUGAAACAGCUUUGUGAAACAGCCAAGAUUUCUAUCACCAGGUUUUUGUCAAUUAAUUUAUACAUAGUAUUAAUUUAUAUAUAUAGAUCUGGCUCUC